GAUUAACGCUGGCGGCGUGCAUAACACAUGCAAGUCGAACGAUGAAGAUUAUUAGACUUCUUCGGAAUGAAAAUAAUUGGAUUAGUGGCGGACGGGUGAGUAACGCGUGAGUAACCUGCCUUACACAAGGGGAUAGCCGUUGGAAACGACGAAUAAUACCCUAUGAAACUAUCACUUCGCAUGAAGCGAUAGUCAAAGUGUUAGCGGUGUAAGAUGGACUUGCGUCUGAUUAGCUAGUUGGUGAGAAAAAAGCCCACCAAGGCAACGAUCAGUAGCCGGCUUGAGAGAGUGUACGGCCGCAUUGGGACUGAGACACGGCCCAGACUCCUACGGGAGGCAGCAGUGGGGAAUUAUGCACAAUGGGGGAAAUGCUGAUGCAGCGACGCCGCGUGAUUGAGAAGGCCGUCGGGUUGUAAAAAUCUUUUGGAUAGGAAGAAAAUGACAGUACUAUACGAAUAAGGUCCGGCUAAUUACGUG
rnacentral:rRNA from 1 species